rnacentral:rRNA from 1 species
GAUGAACGCUGGCGGCGUGCCUAAUACAUGCAAGUCGAACGCUUCACUUCGGUGAAGAGUGGCGAACGGGUGAGUAAUACAUAAGUAACCUGGCAUCUACAGGGGGAUAACUGAUGGAAACGUCAGCUAAGACCGCAUAGGUGUAGAGAUCGCAUGAACUCUAUAUGAAAAGUGCUACGGGACUGGUAGAUGAUGGACUUAUGGCGCAUUAGCUUGUUGGUAGGGUAACGGCCUACCAAGGCGACGAUGCGUAGCCGACCUGAGAGGGUGACCGGCCACACUGGGACUGAGACACGGCCCAGACUCCUACGGGAGGCAGCAGUAGGGAAUUUUCGGCAAUGGGGGAAACCCUGACCGAGCAACGCCGCGUGAAGGAAGAAGUAAUUCGUUAUGUAAACUUCUGUCAUAGAGGAAGAACGGUGGAUAUAGGGAAUGAUAUCCAAGUGACGGUACUCUAUAAGAAAGCCACGGCUAACUACGUGCCAGCCGCCGCCGUAA